rnacentral:ncRNA from 2 species
GGACGCACCUCUGGAGAGAGCGUUUAUAACACGCCACCAAAGGGGAAAACUCCAUUGUUAAUGGAGUCAAACUCUCAGGUAAAAGGACAGAGAUGGGGAG